GUGCCUACGGGGGGCAGCAGUGAGGAAUAUUGGUCAAUGGGCGGGAGCCUGAACCAGCCAAGUCGCGUGAGGGACGACGGUCCUAUGGAUUGUAAACCUCUUUUGUCGGGGAACAAAGGCGCCCACGGGUGGGCGGAUGAGUGUACCCGAAGAAAAAGCAUCGGCUCACUCCGUGCCAGCAGCCGCGGUAAUACGGAGGAUGCGAGCGUUAUCCGGAUUUCUUGGGUUUAAAGGGUGCGUAUGCUGACAGUCACGUCAGCGGUACAAAU
rnacentral:rRNA from 1 species